UCAAAUUUUCAUUCUCUCACUUAUAUAUUUUUGUGAUUCCCACAAGAAAGAAAGAACACGAGAAAGCGCUGAAAUCCUUCUUCUCCAAACCGUUGCCGUCUCAAAUCACGAUGUCUUCUCCAAAACCCUUUCAUCUCCAAAUCGUCUUCUGCAAACCAUCAUGAGAGUUCCAACUUGUCAUAUCUCAUGUUCAUCUCCGUUGUGACCGAGUUCGAGACACCGAUUGAUACAAAUCCCUUCGAUUUCUACACAUAGUUGCUUCCAAUCUCUUCGAUUUCGCAGCUCAAACCUUCAAUCUCUUUGAUUCGCAGCCCAAUCCUCCAAUCCCUUUGAUUGCCCUAAUCAUAUUGUUUCUUUAUUCUUGCUACUAGAAAGCGUUUUUUGUACUGGUGUUUAUAAUCCUCUUACUGAUAGUGUGCAUAUAAGAUAUGGAAGAUUAGUUCCUUGAAUCAACAGUUUUGAUUCAUGAGGAGAAUCAUAAACACAUGGCUGCAUUUAAAUUACAGAAAGUAUACAAGAGUUUUCGCACGCGAGGAAGGCUGACCGAUUAUGCAAUUCUUAUUGAACAAAGUGGGUCAAGACUAUUCGACAAGGUUAUCUCUCGAAGCGUUCCUCAAACUUAAGGGGGACUGGAAAAGGAGGUUUUUUCGUUCUUGAUAGCCGAGGAAUGCUGUAUUACUACUGUAAACAAUGCAGCAAACUAUCUGUAAGUCUAAUGUGAACAAUAUAUAAGUUGGUUUAUGAAGGACUUAAGUUGCCAAUUGCCAUAUAUACUUCUUUGUGGCAAAUUUCACCAUAUAUAUUAUCAUGGCUAUUCAUCAUUUGUAGGGGUCUAGUAGCCAACAUUUUGGUCAGAGGAAUAGUUUGGAGCUUGGUUCUGGACUUCUAAGUCGACAAAGAACUACACUUUACAAAUAGUGCACUAGACCAAAUGGACUGGAUUGAAAAAAUCACAGUUUGUUGAAUGAAGGAUUGUUUCUAAGUGGAUAAGAGGCUUGGAGUUCACCAAUCUAAUGUAGAACUUCUUCUGUGACAUGGUUCAGGGGAAGGCACAUGGUGCUACAAUGUAGUGGAAGUUUCCUAUCCGUAUUGUUUAUCAUGGCCAAAUUGUGAAGGUGGUUUAUAUGACGACGAUGUGCAUGUACGCGCGGUUGCAAGCAUUAAAAUUUGCUUUGGAAUUGGGGGAUGUUUUUUAAUAGAAUUGGAUCUCAAGGUAUAGCAUGAGUAAUUCAAGUGUGAAAUUAGAUGAUCUAUAUAGUUGAUUUUUUAUAUUGCUUUGUUGUCUAAGAGCUUGUAAGCAUCUUUAUUGUUUUGCUACACUUUUUAAUGUAAUAGUUUUAUGUUUAGUGUGUUAACUCAAAGCAAUUUUGAUGUAAACUUGUGAGUAUCAAUUUCUACAUGAAUUGUGAGAAUCAAUUACUUGAUAUGUUUAGUAAAAUAAUGUGU